GACGUUAAAGACUAGUGUUAUUCAUCUUUAUUAGGUUUAAAGGGUACCUAGACGGCAAAACAAGCCUUAAAAAGGUACGGUUUAGCUAGAGUUAUAUAUAAGAAGGAUAGAAUUUAUAGUGGAGAGUUAAUAUUCAUUGAUACUAUGAGGACUGUUAAAGGCGAAGGCAAUCUUCUAUCUAAUAACUGACGUUGAGGGACGAAGGCCUGGGUAGACGAAUAGGAACUUAGAAACCCCG
rnacentral:rRNA from 1 species